rnacentral:rRNA from 1 species
AUUGAACGCUGGCGGCAUGCCUUACACAUGCAAGUCGAACGGCAGCACGGGGCAACCUGGUGGCGAGUGGCGAACGGGUGAGUAAUGCAUCGGAACGUACCUUUCAGUGGGGGAUAACGUAGCGAAAGUUACGCUAAUACCGCAUAUUCUGUGAGCAGGAAAGCAGGGGAUCGCAAGACCUUGCGCUGAUUGAGCGGCCGAUGUCAGAUUAGCUAGUUGGUGAGGUAAAGGCUCACCAAGGCGACGAUCUGUAGCGGGUCUGAGAGGAUGAUCCGCCACACUGGAAAUGCGACACGGUCCAGACUCCUACGGGAGGCAGCAGUGGGGAAUUUUGGACAAUGGGGGCAACCCUGAUCCAGCCAUGCCGCGUGAGUGAAGAAGGCCUUCGGGUUGUAAAGCUCUUUCGGCCGGGAAGAAAUCGCACGGGCUAAUACCCUGUGUGGAUGACGGUACCGGAAUAAGAAGCACCGGCUAACUACGUGCCAGCCGCCGCGGUAA